rnacentral:rRNA from 1 species
AUGUACCAAGGUGGUUCUUCAACAAAGAAGGGACCCAGGUGUGCUAUGCCUAAGCAAGACGAUGAACCACCAAGGGAAGCUGAUGUGCGGCCUUGUGAAUGGCCGUCAGAAGAGUUUAUGGUCAAGGCAGGCAUCAAGGAUGAAUUUGAUGCAUAUGUGCGUAACGCCGAUCUUGAGGACUUCAUGCAAGAUAAGUGUCCGCAGUACUACUAUUUGACUGAUUUAUUCGUGAUAAGGUUUAAAUUUACAUCUUCGCGUAAUUCUCAAAGUGUCCCAUUUGAUAUUUAUGAUCAAUCAUAUACCAUGGACCUAGAAUAUUUUACUACUGCUUGCAAACUCCCACAAUGGGGUAAUGUUAAUGAACCCCGUAAAUCUGAAUAUAAGGACUUUCUUGCUAGUAUCACUGUGGGAGAAUCUAGAGAUAUAGCACAAGCUACCAUAGGGAGCAUUCAUUUUCCUGUUAUACAUUAUUUUGCUCUCUUCAUUGGUAGACGCAUUAAUGGUAAAGAUGAAGCAUGUCACAUGUGUGUUCCUGAUCUUUGUGUCCUCAAGAGUGUUGUAUUAGGAAAUAAGGAUUACAACUUGGGGGCAAUUGUUGCACGUAGGUUGCAUAAUAAUGGUUUAGUUUGA